UGCUGAACUACUACCGGCGUUGUUCC
rnacentral:sRNA from 1 species